GGGUGACGAGCGGCGGACGGGUGAGUAAUGUCUGGGAAACUGCCUGAUGGAGGGGGAUAACUACUGGAAACGGUAGCUAAUACCGCAUAACGUCGCAAGACCAAAGUGGGGGACCUUCGGGCCUCAUGCCAUCAGAUGUGCCCAGAUGGGAUUAGCUAGUAGGUGGGGUAACGGCUCACCUAGGCGACGAUCCCUAGCUGGUCUGAGAGGAUGACCAGCCACACUGGAACUGAGACACGGUCCAGACUCCUACGGGAGGCAGCAGUGGGGAAUAUUGCACAAUGGGCGCAAGCCUGAUGCAGCCAUGCCGCGUGUGUGAAGAAGGCCUUCGGGUUGUAAAGCACUUUCAGCGGGGAGGAAGGCGAUGAGGUUAAUAACCUCGUCGAUUGACGUUACCCGCAGAAGAAGCACCGGCUAACUCCGUGCCAGCAGCCGCGGUAAUACGGAGGGUGCAAGCGUUAAUCGGAAUUACUGGGCGUAAAGCGCACGCAGGCGGUCUGUCAAGUCGGAUGUGAAAUCCCCGGGCUCAACCUGGGAACUGCAUUCGAAACUGGCAGGCUAGAGUCUUGUAGAGGGGGGUAGAAUUCCAGGUGUAGCGGUGAAAUGCGUAGAGAUCUGGAGGAAUACCGGUGGCGAAGGCGGCCCCCUGGACAAAGACUGACGCUCAGGUGCGAAAGCGUGGGGAGCAAACAGGAUUAGAUACCCUGGUAGUCCACGCCGUAAACGAUGUCGAUUUGGAGGUUGUGCCCUUGAGGCGUGGCUUCCGGAGCUAACGCGUUAAAUCGACCGCCUGGGGAGUACGGCCGCAAGGUUAAAACUCAAAUGAAUUGACGGGGGCCCGCACAAGCGGUGGAGCAUGUGGUUUAAUUCGAUGCAACGCGAAGAACCUUACCUGGUCUUGACAUCCACAGAACUUUCCAGAGAUGGAUUGGUGCCUUCGGGAACUGUGAGACAGGUGCUGCAUGGCUGUCGUCAGCUCGUGUUGUGAAAUGUUGGGUUAA
rnacentral:rRNA from 1 species